UGGCUUAGUUGUUAAGUGCUCAGCUGCUAACUGAAAGGUCAGUGGUUCAAACCCACU
rnacentral:tRNA from 1 species